UAGGGAAUCUUCCGCAAUGGGCGAAAGCCUGACGGAGCAACGCCGCGUGAGUGAUGAAGGUCUUCGGAUCGUAAAACUCUGUUAUUAGGGAGGAACAAAUGUGUAAGUAACUAUGCACGUCUUGACGGUACCUAAUCAGAAAGCCACGGCUAACUACGUGCCAGCAGCCGCGGUAAUACGUAGGUGGCAAGCGUUAUCCGGAAUUAUUGGGCGUAAAGCGCGCGUAGGCGGUUUUUUAAGUCUGAUGUGAAAGCCCACGGCUCAACCGUGGAGGGUCAUUGGAAACUGGAAAACUUGAGUGCAGAAGAGGAAAGUGGAAUUCCAUGUGUAGCGGUGAAAUGCGCAGAGAUAUGGAGGAAAACCAGUGGCGAAGGCGACUAUCUGGACUGUAACUGACGCUGAUGUGCGAAAGCGUGGGGAUCAAACAGG
rnacentral:rRNA from 1 species